GGGGAUGUAGCUUAGUGGUAAAGCUCACAAGAAGUGUUGGAAAGCUUGAGCUCGCUCGCUCGCUGCUUGAGGUAGACUCGAAAUACUGUACCUAUCCUGUAGGACUAGAAUUGCGCUCAAAUCCAGGUACAGUCUUAGAGACAGACUCGCGGCGUGCUGAGUUGCUCGUGGACCAUUCAGAUUGUGGAUCGCUGGUUCGAAUCCAGUCAUCUCCA
rnacentral:tRNA from 1 species